rnacentral:rRNA from 1 species
UACGAAGGGGGCUAGCGCUGCUCGGAAUCACUGGGCGUAAAGCGCACGUAGGCGGCUUGUUAAGUCAGGGGUGAAAUCCUGGAGCUCAACUCCAGAACUGCCUUUGAUACUGAUGAGCUUGAGUUCGGGAGAGGUGAGUGGAACUGCGAGUGUAGAGGUGAAAUUCGUAGAUAUUCGCAAGAACACCAGUGGCGAAGGCGGCUCACUGGCCCGAUACUGACGCUGAGGUGCGAAAGCGUGGGGAGCAAACAGG